GCUCCCUCCCUCCGCGCCCUGCGCCCGCCGCCUCCUCCCGCCCUCCGGCUCCCUCCUUCUUCCCGGGCUCCAAUCGCCACCUUCCACCCGCUCCCCGCCCGCGCCGCCUCCUUUCUCCCUCCUCUCCUCCCACUGCCCUUCCCGCGAACGGCUCGGCGCGCCGAGGCAGGCUUCAACCGAGACUCGCAGAAGGAGCUGGCAGCCAGAGCCGGGGAGGGAUUCACGUGGGAAGACAGUCCUGGGAAGUCUCAGACCGAGAGGCUGCAGAGGGAUACGGGCGGAGAGAAACGCGUGAUCUGCACGAACUCCCAAAAGGUGGACACAGAUCCAGAUGGGUACAGAGAACAGCUGUGAGGCCUUGGCUUCUCGGCCGCCUCUUGGUUACUGCAGGAGCGGAAUGCGGGACUAAUCUGAACCAGGCCUGACCUGGAGUGGGCGCCAGACUUAGACACCCGUUACUGGUGUCCCAGGUUUUCGGACACCGCUUCCUAAUGCUGUGCCCCACUGGAGCUUUCUGUGUCAUCUCUUCUCCCAAAGGACUCAGAACUGAGGACCCAGAGAAGGGAGCGCAAAACUCCCGCCAAUCAACGGCUUUAGUCAUCACCCAGGUGUUCUUCGGUCUUGCCAAUGGAAGUUCUUUUGAUGGUGUCAUUUCAUUCCCUUCUUUUAAGUCCGAUAUUGGAUAGGAACGUCUGGAAUUAAACUAAUGGGCCAUGGUGCUACUUUGAGUUGUGACACUCCGGAGAAGGUGGAGGGGAGGGAUGUGGUCCUAGAUCUUUGAACCUAUUGCCUUUCCUGUGUUCCCAGCAUUCUUUAGCAGAUCCUAAACAAUUUUGUUGCUACCCUCCCUACUGGAAUUUACGUACUGGAAAUUGGUGGAGCUGGAGGAUCUCCACGCUGAGAAGUGUGAGAUCAGGUCUGUCUCAUCGCACGAAGAACAGUGGUUCUAUACUGGUGUCUCACAGCAGCUGUGUCCAACUCCAGUCAGUAUGGAUGGCACCACUUGGCCUCAUGGACGGCUCGGAAUUUAAGGAGGCACAGGCCUCAACAUGCCAUUCCUGCACUAGUCAAAAUGCUGGGGUUUAAGUAACCAAGUCACCAAAUCUACCGAGGCCUACACCUCCACUGCUAUGUAAAACUCAAGGACUCCACUGCUAUGUAAAAAUGCGGAAAAGAGGCAAGAGCAAUUAAAAACACAGGGGUACCCAAAAACUGCAGCAUUAACUUCAACUUUAAAGACUGGAUUUAUUGGAGAAAAACAAAAAACCCUCAACCCAAAGGAUGGGAUUUUACAUCUCAAGACAUCUCCCAAGUAAUAAUGUCUACAGAUUACAAAUCAUUUUCAUAGAAGAUAUUUUUGUACAAAUUUUACAUGUAUUCAGGAGCGGGACAUAAGUCAACCCCUGUUUUUAUUUUAACAGGAGUAGAGAGUGGGACAGAACAGCUUUCUUCUGGGUGCAACUACCUGGAAGGGAAAUAGACAUGAAUAGGGCAAACUACCUUUUCAUUGUCCACAACCAACUGUUUAAAGAACCCAUUCAGCGGUGGGUCUUUCACUAAAGCCCACUUACUAGCUACUAGCCAAUCAAGUGAGCUGCUAUGCCCACUGCUGCAGCAAACUGAACCAAAGCUCCUGCACAGCAGGCCUAAGGGCUUGCACAUCAGGACCAAAUUCUCUUUUGUCUGCAGGCAUCCUGACAUCCUACAACAGGGAAGCUUGGCCUCUUUGGAGCUGAUCCUUACAAAAAGGCGCAGAUCAAAGCAGACAUCAAGCUACUGUGUUGCAAGAGAAGCAAGAAACUAUUCAACAGUUCUUUGCAUUAUCCUUUAUUCUUGAGGGAAGUCAAGAAACCAACCCCCAUUAACAGAAAGCCACAGUCUAGGUCACAUUAGAAACCCAAGCACCAGUAUGGGGUUCCAGUGAAGGAAAUGUAUAGAAACCUCACACACCAUCAAGGCUGAAGACCUUUAACUCAACUCUCCCCAUGUCACCAAGUCCAUCAACUGAAAUACUCUGACAACAGCAGGGGCAGGCAGGGACCGGAAUUAGACAGCAUAGAACUGGUUUGCUUGAGAAAAGCAGUGAUUCCUCAGGCCACAGCUUCCGGUGGCCAAUAAAAUGCCUGUAAGAACAGGUGUGUGACUUACACAGACUGCUUUUUGAAGGCUAAGUGUCAUCAAGAAUGCGAGAUGACCAGAGUGAUAAGGUUUUAAAAGAAUGUGGAUAUAUUUGAACCUCUAGAAAGGACAGGUCUUAGAAGACUGGAAUUUCCCACAACUGCUAAGUGCUUCCCCAUCCAGGAAAUGAUCCGUUCUAUUCAAGUGUCUAUUGGAGGUCACACCAUUUCCCGCACUACCUGGUAUAAAAUAACUGAUCACUCCCCCAACCAAAGCUUUUCAAACCACGAUUGAGCUUUCCAUUUAUUUUGGUCCCCAAGCAAUACUACUUGUUAGUGGCCUGCAGACUCAUUCCCAACUACCCCCUUGGGGGGUAAACAAACAAACAAACAAACAACAAUUCCCUCUAGGCUGACCCCAGUUAAGUCAGAAUUAAAGUAGAAGGGCUGGCAGCCUCCUGGAGACUAAAAUAACUUGAGAGACUAAAUCUACCUUUCCAAGGAUGGGAAAUGUACUCAGAUGAUGUUUGGGGAAUUCAUAGGUGCCAUCACAGGGUAUGAACUAAAAGGUAGAAAUCUCAACUCUUCCUUGUGCCUUUUUCUACUGCCCAACUUAUGUGACUGAGUCUGUCACUACAUUCCUGCUGAAUGGAGCCCCAGGCACUAGCCACACAGGUAGCUGCUUGGUAUCCUCAGAACACAUUAUAACUUCCCCAUUCAAAAGCAGUAGCCUUAUCUCUUGGUCUAUGAUGGUGAUUGAUUCUCCAGUUACUUCAAUACUUUAAAAGGCUGCAGCAGCAUGCAAAACAAUUU